AAUCAAUCAAUGGGAUGCCAGAGAUAAAGCCAGGUCUUUAAGGAAGAAUGGGAGCCUCAUUACUCUUCCACAGAGAGCUCUUCCACUGUCUGCAGGCAGAGAGGUCUGAGGCCUCAGGGGCUGGAGGAAACGUAGAGUGGAAGGAAUGUGGGUCCCUGAAUCACUGCCUUUGGGAAGAGCAUCCGCUGCAGCCAGGGGUGCUGGCACUGGACCCUUACAUAGCCCUCAGGGUUACUUGCCAUGGCCAUCUGGCUGGCCCUCGGCCUGCUCUCUCCUGACAUCAAGCCAUCUGAAGGCCAGGCUCUGACGUGGCCACUCCAGGCUCCUUUGGAUUUGGCAGCCGCCUGUCAUUGCUCAGUCCUCAGGCCUCUGAAGGUUGAUCGGCGCCUCCUGGACCCACCCAUGGACUCUUCUUGGCUGAGUUGCUCUUUUACAUUUAUUUGUCUGCUUUUGAUUAAUACUUGUCCCCACCAGAGACUGUCAGCAACAACAAGGACAGUUUUCAGUCACCACUGUAUGCCCCGCACCCAGCAGGGGGCCUGGGGCACAGCAGCCCCGUGCCAAGUAGUACUGAGUGGCGGGCUGACUCCCGGAUGGGCAAACUCCCCCAACUUUCUCCUCUUUUUAUUCUGUUUUGGUUCUGAGCCUUUUCUGCAUCACAGAACACUGAGAACUCGGCUAAAACCCUCCAGGACAACGUGUGGGCACCAUCACACGCGGGACCCUCGUCCCUCCUGAAGCCGGCCAGGUCAAGGGUCCCCGGGUCAAGGGUUCUUGUCUAAAAGCUCCAGGCUCCAUCUGGCCCCUGCUGACACCCUCCUGGACCUGAGGUCCAGCUCAUGUGGGAGUGGGAGGGAGCACCAGCAGGCCCUGCAGAUGAUGGCUAAUGGAGGAAGGGCCGGCGAGCGAGGAGCAGGCCGGGAGGGGAGAGACGCUGACGAGAAAGCCCGGAACUGAGGCUUCUUCCUGUGUGUGGGGCUGGAGGUGGGAAAUCAUGGAGGCUUCCAGGGAGAUUUGGGCUGUUCCUCACCUUGGAGAUAAUGGACUGAAUCCAUGUUGCCCCGAACUUGCUCCAUCCCUGGGCUUUACCCCGAGUCUGAGGUUUAACACGGUCCCCUCUGGCAGCUGAAUUCAGAGGGCAGAGUCUCGGAGUUUUUAGAAUAGAAAAUAGCCUCAGACAUCAUGAACCAAGCUGCUCUGUGAUGAGGAUCAGGGCUGCCCCAGGGAGAAGCCCAAGGCAUCCUGCCCUACAUACUGAUCUGUAUCAUCCUCCGGGAGCAUAGGAUGUCCUGACUUAAUCCGAUCUGAUUCUUAUCUAAAGUUAUAGGACCACCCGAUAACCAGACCCCACCUGCACUGAUACCAUUUUUAUGAUUUUUUUUCAUGAUCUUUCCUUUGUCUUGUAAAGAAAUAACUCACAUACCUAUGCCUUAUA
rnacentral:lncRNA from 1 species